CUGAUGAGGGGACGCCCAGGGAGCUCUGGUGAGGUGUGAUUAGGUCCUGGUGUCUUCUCCACAUAGCUCCAGCGUCGUCCUUUCUGGCACUCUUCAGCUGGCUGGCUCUCCUCAGCGUCCUUCAGCAAUGUAACUCGCAUAUCUUGGUUAUGCCCAACGUAAACGAGUUUAAAAUUCUGCAAAUUAAUACUGCAGCAGUCAACGUGUGGCAGCUCCUAAUGGUCGCAGGAAGCAGAGUGCAGAGGGGUUUUCCUGAUGCAAGGAAGUACCUAGAACAGGAAACUUAAGAAGACCACGAGUCAAAUUUAAGGCUGAAUUAUUGUCAGAACUGAAGGACAGAGUACCAAAAGUGACAUGAAUGUGUCAGAAGCUACCAGAAAAUCAGGUAGCCAAACCCCCUGGCUUCAUGAAUUUUGGCUGAGAUGGUGAGGAGUGCUGUGACCCAAGUAUGAUUCCACCGCCAACUCCAUCGAUGUUUCAUACUGAGAAUGGGAAAGAAAAGCAACUGCACUUGACUGGAGAUCACUCUGGAAGAUGAUGUGA